AUGGUCUGGGAGGGAGGGUCUGCUGCUGAUUGGCUGGAAUGUGUCUGCUGACUGUGAGGUACAGGGUCAAAGUUUAUGUUUAUGUUCGCCGUCCGCGGCGAACCGUUCGGGACAUCACUAUCCAUCAAGUAUGACAAAAAAAUAACAAUGUAAAUCUAUACUUAGUAUUCUUUUCGUUAGCGAUGAGUCUUCCAAAGAACAUUCACAUCUUCAUGUUCAUUUCCAUUUCCUUUCAUUUUGAAUGCAGAUGAUCUUUCAAUAGCUUUUUUCAACUCUGUUAGCAAUUUUCUCUAAAAUCUAACAUUUAUUGCAGUCUUGAUAGACAGGCAUGAAUAUCCUACUACUUUGUUACACUAUUUUUCUGUUUAGUUAAUCGCUAAAACUAUUAUUAAUCAGAGAACUUUCUUGAGCUUGGCUAGCUGAGAAUACAUUUUGUUUGGUUGGGGAACUUUUUGAAACUUGGCUAGUUAAGUAUAUAUUUUUGUUUAGUUGUAGGUGACCCUCAUCGCAUAGGGACUAGAUUACUUUACCUGGGGAUUGUUAUUUUAUAAUUGUUUUAUAAAUAGUUAUCUAAUAGAAUUCUUUAAUGUACCUAACUAUUGGGUGUCUUUGAAUGGCAGUUAAGCAAACUCUUCUCAAAUGAGGAACAUGCCAACGUGAAAAAAUGUUUCCCCUCUGCAUUUAACUGCUAAUACGUCAUUAAAGUUUUGAGGAAUUAAUCCUACUGCAUAUCUCUCAACCCUGUUCCCUUCAAAGUAGGAUGUGAAUGAGGUAAGACUAUGGUGAGGGGCGAUAUAGUGAAAUAUAAAGUGUUUUGAGGAAGUAUUCUAGUGAUUCAAAGUGGCAAAAGAACCAGGUAAUACACAAAAUAUACAUAAAACUUGGCAAUCUCUCUGAGAGAUGAUACAUGCGAGUGUCGGUACAAAUAUUAACAGAAACUCCAGCACAACAAAAUAUUCCUUGCAGGAUGUGCAGUUUUAUGAGUACAAGACACCUGCCUAGUCUCCUUUUAUUUCCACCAACUAAACCUUCCCAAUGCUAGGUCAUCUGUUGGACCACUCACAACCUUGCGAAAUAUCUGCACGGACAGAGGCAUUGUUAGGUUGCAAAAAUCUCUGGAACCGACAGAAAAAAAUAUUUGUAAACGGUUUUUAGGAGACUUUUCUUUUUAGGGUGUGUCUUGUUGUGUUGGCUUGUUUUUAUAAUCCUUUUUUAUUAUUCCCCUUCUUAUGCUUACAUUUUCUGUUUAUUUUAUUAAUUAUAGCUAUUUUAGGAGCACUUUAGGUGGUGCAUAGCCUUCUUAUUGGCGCUGAACGUUUAAUACGGUAGUUUUAACUAUUGCGUAGUUUAUUUGUUUGAAAUAUAUACGUUCACAGUAUUUGUAAUGAAACAGUCAUUCCUGUUAAGGACUGUUAUCAGCCCCUCUAUUUUUACCUUAUGCAGGAAGAAGAAAACUUUGUUUUGUUUCUAAAGAUUAAGGUCUUGAAAGGGAGAAUGCUUUAGAUUUACACUUUUGAACGUGUCGAAGAGUAUAUUUAUACACUGUUUGAAAACUACAUUGCUUUACUAUAUAAUGCAUAAUAUUUCUAUACUAAAAGAAUUCUGGAGGCCCACAAGUGUUUAUGAUAGAUACAAUCUUAAUAUCCAUUUGCAACAUGUAGAUAUCAACGAGAAAACCAAUCAUUUUCAAUAAAGCAACCUGAUAUAUAAUUAUUUUAAUGGGCAUCAAUUUCAAAUAACAAUUUAAAAGAUAGCGUCCGUUUGUCUUUAGAAGCACUCCUUCCUUGAGAAGCAUAUUCUACAGGUUUACUGUAAAUGUCUGGUUUUCUGAAAAUGGAUUUAAUAAUUUAAAAAAAAUGUUCUUUGUUCUGGAUGGCCUAUAUACCUUUACUGAGCUAUGAUGUCCUUUGCGACACCUCUGGUUUGUAAAUAAAAUAUGUUUGGCCUUCCAUUUGUUAAAAUUCCUUUCUUUUUACCUUAUUUCUUUCCACUUUCCAAAUACAUUUUUUAUGAACUGGGUCCAAAUCCGCAUCCAAAAUUCUAAGAUAAGAGUAACGAUAC